rnacentral:rRNA from 1 species
AACGAACGCUGGCGGCAUGCCUAACACAUGCAAGUCGAACGAGACCUUCGGGUCUAGUGGCGCACGGGUGCGUAACGCGUGGGAACCUGCCCUUAGGUUCGGAAUAACUCUCCGAAAGGGGUGCUAAUACCGGAUAAUGUCUUCGGACCAAAGAUUUAUCGCCCUUGGUUGGGCCCGCGUUGGAUUAGCUUGUUGGUAGGGUAAAAGCCUACCAAGGUGACGAUCCAUAGCUGGUCUGAGAGAAUGAUCAGCCACACUGGAACUGAGACACGGCCCGGACUCCUACGAGAUGGAGCAGUGGGGGAUAUUGGACAAUGGGCGAAAGCCUGAUCCAGCGAUGCCGCGUGAGUGAUGAAAGCAGUAGGGUUGUAAAGCUCUAUUACCCGGGAUGAUAAUGACAGUACCGAGAGAAUAAGCGCCGGCUAACUCCGUG